UGUUCCUGCCUGGGAUUGAACUGGGGACCUUGUGCGUGGGGAGCACAUGUGAUAACCUCUACACCACGUAAAC
rnacentral:tRNA from 1 species